GAGGACUGGACUGGACUGGACCUGAGGUGCUGGCCAGGCAAGAUGGCGAACGGAGCAAAGCUGAGGCAGCGUGACUGAAAAGUGAAAACAAGUGGAGGUGGACAGACCAGCAGGCAGUAGGGUUGAUGCUAGCAUGAAAGAGUUGGAAGAAGUCAUAUCAGAAGAGUGAAGGUCACCAUGUAACUGAUGGUAUUGGCCAACAGAGGACUUGGCGAUAGUGAAAUCUGGCACCUUCUACACAAACUGUAGCUCUUGACUUGGAAAAUCAUUGACUCUGCAGCAGGACAAAAGUACGAUGCCUGGCUGUGCCCCAAGAUCCAGUGGAUGACAUUGAUGUCUUCAAUGUCUGACCAAGCUCUAAGCACUCCACCUGCACAGCCGUUGGAACAGAUUGUUCUCAUCCACCCAUUCUACCUGGGGGACAUCUUCACAUGCUUGAGGUAGACACCUCCCUAACUCACUAACGGGCUUGAGGCCUGUCAGCUACCCUCAACCUGGUUUAGCCAGUCUUCCAAGAUGGUUUACCUGAGUGUGGCUGCUGGGCAUGCUAACAGCUUCUCAGAAUCCCAGGUAAAAGUUGGGUGAAAGGGGACACCAAAGGUGGAUGUACAACUCUGAAAAAGUCUUGGAAAGCCUUCAUACCAGGGGUGCUAGUUUUCCCUGAAUGCCCCAAACAAAUGAAGUAGUAUAGAGGGAGAAGAAAGAGGGUCCAGGACAGAAUCCUGAGGGAUACCUAAGGUUAGAGGAUGGAGGAGGCUCCAGUACAGGAGACAGAGAGAAGGAGCACUCAGAUAGGUAGGAGAAAAGGCAGGUGAGAAUGGUGUCAUGAAAAUUUAAAGAGAAGGAAGUAUCAAGGAGGAAAGAGUAAUUGAGGCUGCAGAGAGGUCAAGGAGAAUGAAGAUUGAGGAAAAGCCAUUGGAUUUGGCACCUAAGAGAUCAUUAGUAACUUUGGAGAGAGCAUUUGGGGUGGAAUGAUAACACUGGAGGCAAGACCGUAAUGCAUUAAGAAAAAGAGCUAGAGGAGAGAAAGUGUGGAGGCACCUAUUGUGAAUGAAGAGAUCUAGGGUGAUAGUUCGGGGACAGAAGGAUCAAAGUGAAGUUUUUUCAGGAUGGGAGAGACAUGUGCAUGUUUGUAAGCCAUAGGAAAUGAGUCAGAAGAGAAGAGAUUGAAAAUAAGCGAAAGAGUGGGGAUGACAGAGGGGGCAAUCUAUUGGAGGAGAAGAGAUGGAAUGGGAUUGCUUGAACAAGUAGAGGAGUUAGCCUUGGUAAGGAAUAAGGCCACAUCACCAUGUGAGAUAGGGAUGAAGAAGAGCAUGGCAAAAGGUAUUUGUGUGUGUGUGUGUGUGUGUGUGUGUGUGAGAGAGAG